CCUACGGGAGGCAGCAGUGGGGAAUAUUGCACAAUGGGGGAAACCCUGAUGCAGCGACGCCGCGUGAACGAAGAAGGUAUUCGUAUCGUAAAGUUCUGUCCUAUGGGAAGAUAAUGACAGUACCAUAGAAGAAAGCUCCGGCUAAAUACGUGCCAGCAGCCGCGGUAAU
rnacentral:rRNA from 1 species